rnacentral:rRNA from 1 species
UACGUAGGGACCGAGCGUUGUCCGGAUUUAUUGGGCGUAAAGAGCUCGUAGGCGGCUUGUCGCGUCGAAUGUGAAAACUCGGGGCUCAACUCCGAGCUUGCAUUCGAUACGGGCAGGCUAGAGUUCGGUAGGGGAGACUGGAAUUCCUGGUGUAGCGGUGAAAUGCGCAGAUAUCAGGAGGAACACCGGUGGCGAAGGCGGGUCUCUGGGCCGAUACUGACGCUGAGGAGCGAAAGCGUGGGGAGCGAACAGG